UCCCUUCUAUUGCUAUGGACACGGCACCCGCUACUUUUUGGCCAACCCCGCGUCACCCGGCCGGUGACCACACCGGCACACCGUAGUCAUCCUCCGCUUGACGCGGACACCGGAGAACCAUCGAUCCAAUCUCUCCCGUCCAUCGCGAUCCGGUCGAGAGUUCGGUCACCCCACGCCACACGUGAUCUCCAACGUCUCCUUCUAAUCAUACGUAACUGACAGAGAGGCGGCCAACCGACGGACAACUGCGCCGCCCCCCCCGACAUGGAGACGAAGUCGCCCCCACCGCCGUCGCAGCAGCAGCGGCGACGGAAGUGGGUGGUGCCGCUUCUCGCCUCUUUCUUCUUGUCGUCCCUCGUCAUCUCCGCUUUUGUCUUCUCCUCCUCGUCCUCUUCGUCCGCCUUCGCUUCCGCGUCCUUGUCCCGCCAGGCCCUCCUCCUCCUCUCCUUCUCCCAGAUCUCCCCCGCCGGCGGCGAGCCCCUGUUCGUGGAGUCGAAGCUCCACCACCCUCCGCCGACGCCCGCUGCCGCCUCGGAUCGGCCAGUACGCGGCCUCGCCUAUCUCAUCUCCGGCUCCGCUGGCGAUGGCGGCAGCCUGCGGCGGACCCUCCGCGCGCUCUACCACCCGGCCAACCAGUACGUUCUCCACCUCGAUCUGGAGGCCCCCGCGGCGGAACGCCUCGAGCUCGCCACCGCCGUCCGGGACGAUCCCGUCUAUGCUCGUUUCGGCAACGUGAGGGUCGUCGCCCGAGCUAACCUGGUCACCUACCGCGGCCCUACCAUGGUCGCCAACACACUCCACGCCGCCUCCAUCCUCCUUAAGGAGGGCGGCGAUUGGGACUGGUUCAUCAACCUCAGCGCCUCCGAUUACCCUCUCGUGACCCAGGAUGAUCUACUUUACACACUGUCAAGUUUGCCUAGACAGCUGAACUUUAUUGAACAUACCAGCGACAUCGGAUGGAAGGAGUACCACAGGGCUAAGCCUUUAAUUAUAGACCCUGGACUUUAUAGCUUGCAGAAGACGGAUGUUUUUUGGGUUACUGAGAAAAGGAGUCUUCCCACUGCAUUCAAGCUCUGUACAGGAUCUGCUUGGAUGAUGCUCUCUCACCAGUUCAUGGAAUUCUGUUUAUGGGGGUGGGACAACCUUCCAAGGACAGUUCUAAUGUAUUACGCAAACUUUCUGUCAUCCCCCGAGGGGUACUUCCACACAGUUAUCUGCAAUGCCCCUGAGUUCCGCAACACCACUGUCAACCAUGACCUUCAUUUUAUAUCCUGGGACAACCCUCCAAAGCAGCAUCCUCACUUUCUCACCCUAAGUGAUUUCCCGAGGCUAGUCAGCAGCAACACCCCAUUUGCACGGAAGUUUGGCAGAGAUGACCCAGUGCUUGACAAGAUUGACAAGGAGCUCUUGGGCCGUGAUCCCGAUGGCUUUGUGCCUAGUGCGUGGUUCGAUGCACUGAAGUCGAAUACUACUAUCAAUGAUCUACAGUAUACAGUGAGGAGUGUCUCUGACCUCAGGCCUGGGCCAGGUGCCGAGAGGCUUAAAACCCUAAUUACAGGGCUGCUUUCGGCAGAUGGUUUUGACGAGAAACACUGCAUUUGAUAUGGACUGUUUGUCAGCCGAUUCAGAUUCCUUUUCCCCAAAACAUUCUGUGUCGAGCUGUGGUUCCCUGUCCUCGACUCAAAGCAGUGAAAAGGUGCAAGACACAGAUCGGGCUUCCUAUAUGGUCAUAAUCUGGGAAGUAAUAAGGGCCUGUGGAAGAGGUUUUGACCUAAAGAACCUGAGUAGCAAUGUGGAAGCAAGCAAGAAGCACUAAUCAAUGACCUUCUGAUGUGAAAGACUUCUCCUACAACGCAACAUUUCAUAAGAUCUCUGUUGUUUGAGGUUGGCUACACAAAUCAAAAGUGAAUUCUUGGCUGCACUUGCCAUCUCCAAUCCAUCUCCAGCGUUCUCUGGUUUGAUCCAUGUCGCGCAGUAAAGAAAAGCUGCCAAGUUUAGAGCGCUUAGUGCGGCCAGAAGGCCAUAGAAGUAAUCCAGCCUCCCAUGGUUGAUGUUGUCAGCCAGCCAUCCCUGCCCGCUCUCGCCGCCCGUCACACUCUUCACGAUGGAGACGAUGAAGCUGCUAAGGAAGAAGCCGAGUGACAGCGUGGUCAGGAAGAGGCCGGUGCUCAUCGUCUUCAUCCCCUUCGGCGACCGUGUGAUGAAGAAAUCGAGCUGCCCGGUGUAUAUCAACGCCUCCCCCGAGCCCACGAGAAAGAAC